UCUUUGGAUGUCAAAAUAAAACCUUUUAAUUGCUUAUAAAAUAAACUCUUAUGUGGUAUAUUAACCUCACCUCUCUCUCUUCUUAGUUAUAUAAAAAUUAUUUUCAAACUAAACAAAUUGAGUUUUGUUUUCCAACAACCUGCAGGAAUUUUCCAAGUUAUUUUUCACAUGUUCUUUCCCUCUCUUCUAUUUUUGUUUCCUGCAAACAUCUGUGAGAGAAAGAAAGAAGAAGCAGUAGGAAAAGAGAAGAAAAGAAUCAACCAGAGCAGCUCAUCUACAUGACACAGCGCCAUCGCUCCUGUUGCCAAGCAAAAGUAUCUCAUUCUUGUCAUCUCCCUCACAUGGUCAUGCACGCUGCGUGACCUCGCCAACCACCCAGGCCAUCUGCUCCUUUUCCCCUCUACAAUUUCCCAGCCAGACCCCAGCAAACCCUAGCACUUUUCCUCCUAGCCCCGCCGCCAUCUGCUUUUCCUCGACCACACCCACAGACGAGAACGCAGAAGAAAAACAAGGAGUUCAGUUAAAAUUUCAGAGAAAACAAACGAGCCACCACCACCGCUGUACCUCACCGGCGCGCCGUCGUUCCGGCCUUCCCCGAGCUCCGCCGAACACGUCCUCAUCUCCGCCUCAUCCUCCUCUUUCUCCUGGUACAAGGAAUCGCCCCAAUACGUCCAAAAUCAACGUCAAGGUCGCCGAUUCUCUUCUCCGGCCGCCGCGCUCCGGCGAGGAUUCCGGCUGCUCCGUCCAUCCUCCGACCUCGCUGACCGCACCAACAUGUUCCUGGUCGUCGUCGCUGGCGCCGCUUUCGUAGUCCUCUGGUCGAGGGCUGUCUCCAUCGAGUUCCCCGCAACGAAGUGCACCUCUGGCCCCGUUGUUCCCGUCUCCGUUCGCCCUGCAACGUUGAAUCCGUGCUCGGUACGACGGUGAUCGUCUUGAGUGCGUCCCUGUUCGCCCAGAUUUCAGUUCGUCAGGUUCAAGCGCAACCUGUCUCUACAUCUUUUGUCCUCGCAUAUGUACCUGUGUAUCAUAUGUGUAGCAGACUAGCAGCACAUCUGGCUCCUUUCCUUGUAUCAAAACCUGGGCCGCUGCAAUUCUUGAAGCGCAAGACGUGAUCGAUCUGUUCCCUGCCUGGAUUCCGUGCUAUUCAAUAUCAGCAGAACUACCAACCUGAUGACUACUAAGAGCUGAAGACUUCCGCGACAUCAGCUUCUACCUCUUCGACAGGAAUCCGACGGCAUCUCUGUUUUGAUAUCGCUUUGCUUCUUCCCGGAUAGGAUCCCGAAGUGGUGUGGUGAGAUACGACGAGUUCUUCGGAUGUUCCUCGGCAAGUUUUAACAGGCAAGCAUUUUCCCUUAUACUCCUGCCCCUGCAGAAGUCGCUCACCUAUUUUAUUUUGCCUUCUCCCUCAUGCUAUCCUUAGGUUGCGUUCUUGUCACGUGUCCCUUCCACUUGCUUACCUCAAGCAGCCCAUAUUGCCACCACCAACCACCAACCUCCUACAGCUGUUGUUUGGUUAUCGGGUCUGCCUUGCGAGUCGUAGUGCAUGCUAGUGCUUUUAUAUCUCGUUACCGUUACUGCUAUCUUAUCGGGUUAUCUGUUGGGGAACACGACACAUGGUUUAUGGUUAUAUAUGUUGAGGAUAUCAUGGUUACUUGUUAAUAGUUGUUAGCGGAGGCAUCGGUGGGUCAGCUGAUCGUUUUGUGACGGCUCACUCGUGUUUCUUUAAAACCUAGGACCCGAGUUCUUGUUAUCUGUUCUGAGACUGAGCGCUCUAACCACACGUGGGUAUGUUUCUGGGUCUUCCCUCGACCACUGCCGGAAUCUACAGCUUUGUCCAGUGGCCACAACUAGUUUGCAAUGUUUUACCAAUUGUUUUUGCGUGCAUGCCAGCAUGUUACUUAUUUACUUUGGGAAGCCCCUGGGUGCCUUGUAUCCCUUGUUUCUGGUAUGCACGUAUAGGUGCGGCACGUGCGUUUAUCGCAUGCUGAAGCGGGUCAUUCGCCCCAGUGUGUGUUUUGACCCUCUAAAGCCGUCCUCGCAAUAGCUAAGUCCGCUUCGGAGAUACGGCCGGACUUCGAUACGGGUUCAACUUAGUUAGGUGGCUUCCUGGACAUUGUUGUCGUGAAGGAGAGUGCGAGUCGUGACACUCCACCUUUUUGCCAUUGCCUUUGGAGUUGAUCGUGCGUGUGGGCACAUUUGGGCACCCCUGCAGGGUUAAAUCUUAUCGAUAAGCCGUGUCCACGGUUAUGGACGACUUGGAGCUGUAUGACUCGACCAUAGACAACUUACACCUGUUGUUUCAAUACUAAUAACUUGCAUAGUAAGAUAGAACAACUUAAAUAAUACCUGGGUAAAACUUGUCAACCGUGUGAGUGCCUUUGUAAGUACUUCUUGGCGAAGGGGGAACACAUCGGCUGUGUUAUGUCUGCAGAGUAUAGAACUGUUAGUUACGCUCUCUCACCUUCUCUGAUAGAUGACUGUUGUAGAGUGUCUCUAUAGGUUUUUAGUGCUUGCGCGCUGCCGCUUAACCCCACCAUAUUGCCUAUGACGUUCCUCUUGCGUCCUCUAAGUCCCCUGCGUGCCUCAAGUACAAAGGACGACUGGUUGACGAAUGCUUAUACGUCUUGAAGUCUUGUUAAGUACGAACCCGUACUUAUUGCUGCUUCUACGGGAUAUAACCGGGCAGGUAUGAAGAUAUGUUCGAUGAAGACGAUGCUAGCAAGGUUACCCUUCCGGCUUGGCCUGGGCAGGGUUAUGGACGCCACUUGGUUAUCUUCAGGACUCUUAGUCCAAUUUGUAUCUUGUCCGUACUCGGAUGUAUUUGAUCUUCCGUGUGAUUUGGAUCUUUGUAUGUAUCUAUUUGUAUCUUGACUCGUUGGAGUCGUUGCUGUAAUAUAUUUGUCUCUUGUGGGCUCUAUUGUAAUCC